CACAGAGCCUAUGGGUUAACAGACGAACACAAUUUAGAGACAGAAAAAACUGGGUAUGUACGUUAGUCCCCUUAUCUGUGGUUUCGCUUUUCACAGUUUCGGUUACCCGUGGUCAACUGAGUCUGAAAAUAGCUGACUGGCACCCUUCUCUCUGGCUGGCAGCGGAUUAGCACACUGAAUCCCAUCCCUGAGAUGUCCUGGCACACAUCCUGGGCCCCUCUGUGAAGUGUUUGCCAUGGCCUCGAGCCCCUCAGGUUGAGUGCACUUGUCUGCAAAGGGCUGUGUUCUACAGCAACGUGGGACCCACGAAGGAAGCCUUAUGAUUCAUUUUUCAUCUCAUCAUUACUCGCCUUGCCUGUAUGCCAAGGCUGGGAAGCAAUGGGCCAGAGGUUUGUGCUCUGAGCAAUUCUGAAUCAUGUGGAGAAUAUGAAGGAAAAUGAGAAGUUUAAAAAUACUCCAUAGGAAAGAAAUGGUUCUUGCCACCUGGGCCUCAUCAUGGGACAACUUACCCCGUGGCAGCUGCUUUCCUUGAUGUGAGCCAGCAGGUCAGAGAAGGCAUCCAGAAGAGAAGCCACAGCCUUUCUGCAGCCCAACCUCAGAAGGGCCAUCCCAUCACUUCCUAAUGAAUGCUUUAUGGCUGAGAAAUGAUGGAGGAAGCGAGUGAGACUGAAGAGAUGAAGAAACUGAGGCACACAGAGAGAGACCCGGACGUGGCAUUCCCAGCAGUACUCAGAAAAGGAAGAAAGUACCGGAUUCCACACUGGGAUUGAUAUGUGUGGGACAAAGGUAGCUGGUUCAGAAAUUGGAGCUGAAAACCUUGAGAAGAGGUCCCUUGGAAGUGGCAGCAAUCUGGAGGAGAGCUUUGGGUUUCCAAAGGCCACAGAAUGGGUGGGAGGCUUCCCAUGUGUCUCACCACACACCCAUCUGCCCGGGGCCUAGGAUCAAGCUGGCGGUAAAGGACUUGAG
rnacentral:lncRNA from 10 species